UCUUACGUAUCCCAGGAAAUGAAAAUUUAUAGCCUUAUCACGACACUAUUCUUAACAGUUUGUUUUUUCCCCCAGUAUGAGGUGCGUACUCGACAACAAAAGUUAUUUCUCGUAAGCAAUGGCAAUGUUUAGUUUCUCUCAACGGUUAUACAUGAUGGUUUAUGGAAUGUGUAACGGAAAUACUGCAUUUAUUAUUUAGGUGUAUAACAUUUUAUGCUACCUAUUUGGCCCUCGACAGAAUAAGCAGAUCAAUCACAGCAUGGUCAAGAAACAGGUAAAAUCCGAUAAGCUGAGAAUCCGUACGAUUUAUUUACUUCUACGUAAUUUAUAAAUACAUUUACAUUUCUCCGCUACAGUGUACGUGCGAUAACAGCCACAUUUCUUUCACAUUACGGUCACAUAUCAGCGGAUCACACUCGUUUCAGAACGAUUCAGCAGACACGCACCGACGUUUUAACAUACACUCCAGACUCCAGAGUGGUUCAGUGGUCCCGGUCCGAAAGGCGAAAACUUUUACCUAACUCGACUCGACCACGGAUCUCGAUACUCGACAAGUGAUACGUCAUUUUGACGUCACUUCCGACUGGUUUUGGACCAUUAUGAUCUGUUGCGCUUCCCAGUUGGCAGUUGCAGAUAAGAUUGGAGACUUUGGGGUACCGUGCAGCUGUGAACUGCUAAGAUUUUUGUGAGUACGUCGACAUUUUGAGGUGAGGUGAUUCGGGAAGAUAAUUAGAAGUCUGUGACGGAGAGCGAAGCAGAAAAAUGUCGUGGCUAUCCGGAUCCCGAGGGCAGCAACCGCCCCAGCCGAUGGAGCCGUCGCAGCGGCAACACGUCAUCUCACGUGGGGUGAUCGUGAGGACAAAGCCAGAAGAAAAUCUCAGAUGGAGGCGUACCGAUUUGAAUCUUCAGUUCUGGAAAGAGCCGCUCAGCCAGCAAGCGAACUGGAAAACUCCCAGACAAGUCAUUAGAUUCAACGAAUCACGGUGACUACUGCAGCAGAUUGCCUAUGACCAACGGAAUUAAAUCGCCAACAGCAGCAUGCAGCAAAGGAGCCAUUGACACUGACACGCAAAAGAAGCCUUCGAGCUGUCGAAGCUGCAGGAAGUGACGUGGCGGCGAGAGUACGCCUCAAAACUGAAGGAGUAUGAGGCACAGAUUGAGCAGAUGGCGGAGUAGCAGCGUGUGGUGACAGAGGAGCGGCACAAGACGCUGCAGCAGGAGAUGAAUCACCACCAUGAGUGCACGCAGUACUAGGACCAGCUA